rnacentral:rRNA from 1 species
AUACGUAGGGGGCUAGCGUUAUCCGGAAUUACUGGGCGUAAAGGGUGCGUAGGUGGUUUCUUAAGUCAGAAGUGAAAGGCUACGGCUCAACCGUAGUAAGCUUUUGAAACUAAGAGACUUGAGUGCAGGAGAGGAGAGUAGAAUUCCUAGUGUAGCGGUGACAUGCGUAGAUAUUAGGAGGAAUACCAGUUGCGAAGGCGGCUCUCUGGACUGUAACUGACACUGAGGCACGAAAGCGUGGGGAGCAAACAGGAUUAGAUACCCUGGUAGUCCACGCCGUAAACGAUGAGUACUAGCUGUCGGGGGUUACCCCCCUCGGUGGCGCAGCUAACGCAUUAAGUACUCCGCCUGGGAAGUACGCUCGCAAGAGUGAAACUCAAAUGAAUUGACGGG